UGCUGCGGCCGUGCGCGGUUUGUAGAUGUGGCUUUAAAUGCAUCCGGAUAUUCCCGAGGAAAUGGAACAAUCCUGCCGUGCUCUGCCCUCCUCCGGUCGCCCGGCCGCCCUCCCGCCGUCAGCGCGUUCCCAGCUCUGCAGCAAUUUGGGGAAAAGGAAGUGUUCUCAGCGGUGUUUCAACUUUGCAUUUCCAGGAUCCCACAGAAAGCUGAGCAUGGAACUCUUCAGCCUCUCUAAUUGAAGCAAAAAUCACUGGAGUGGAAAGUGUCCUGGCUCUUCAUGAGAUGUCAAAGUACAGAACAUGGCAGACACCUGGGGGUUUGGGAAACUGUGACAGCUACAAGCUGACCUUUGACGAAUUUAAUCUGCAAAUGGAUUCCUGCUUAGGACAGCUAAUGCUUUUAGUUAUUGUAAAGGCUUGUUCCUGGAUUUUAAAAAACUGAGAAUAAAUGGAUUUCAUGAUGCA